GGGGGCUUGCUCCCGGGUUAGUGGCGAACGGGUGAGUAAUAUAUCGGAACAUAUCCGGAAGUGGGGGAUAACGUAGCGAAAGUUACGCUAAUACCGCAUAUGCCCUGAGGGGGAAAGGGGGGGAUCGCAAGACCUCUCGCUUUCGGAGUGGCCGAUACCGGAUUAGCUAGAUGGUGAGGUAAAGGCUCACCAUGGCGACGAUCCGUAGCUGGUCUGAGAGGACGACCAGCCACACUGGAACUGAGACACGGUCCAGACUCCUACGGGAGGCAGCAGUGGGGAAUUUUGGACAAUGGGCGAAAGCCUGAUCCAGCCAUACCGCGUGAGUGAAGAAGGCCUUCGGGUUGUAAAGCUCUUUCAGCCGGAAAGAAAUCGCACUUUUUAAUACGGAGUGUGGAUGACGGUACCGGAAGAAGAAGCACCGGCUAACUACGUGCCAGCAGCCGCGGUAAUACGUAGGGUGCGAGCGUUAAUCGGAAUUACUGGGCGUAAAGCGUGCGCAGGCGGUUUGAUAAGCCAGAUGUGAAAUCCCCGGGCUUAACCUGGGAACUGCAUUUGGAACUGUCAGACUAGAGUGUAGCAGAGGGGGGUAGAAUUCCACGUGUAGCAGUGAAAUGCGUAGAUAUGUGGAGGAAUACCAAUGGCGAAGGCAGCCCCCUGGGUUAACACUGACGCUCAUGCACGAAAGCGUGGGGAGCAAACAGGAUUAGAUACCCUGGUAGUCCACGCCCUAAACGAUGUCAACUAGUUGUU
rnacentral:rRNA from 1 species